CCCUAGAGGACCAGUGGCUAGGCCACGGCACUCUCACCACUGUGGUCCGGGUUAGAUUCCCGGCCACUGGGGU